UGCCUGGAGCCUCUGGAGAGAGACAAAAGGCACAGAAACUAAAGGGAGCCAGGUGCCCGGAAAAGGAUGGACAGACAGAGGAUGGACAGACGGGCCGAGAGCCAGGUGUUCACGCAGGAUCUGGGUACUGAGCGUGUGGACAUCUCCAGAGAGAUGAGUUCAGAGGAAAACCGUGGUGACCCUACCAAACCUGGCCAAAAUGUUGAAUGAAGUAUGUCAAAAAGUCAGCUGAAGGCAGGAGAUUUAUCGAACCUGAAUACUUCAUAAAGAGCUGCAUAAAAAUCUAGC